AUCAUAAUUACUAUAGCCACUAGAGGGCUUUGUCCCUUAAAUGUACCCUGGUUAUUUUCUGAAACUGCAAUUAACUGAUGGUGUUGAACGCCACACGCGCUGCGGCUUCGCACAAAGAAGUUAGUGCAGCGCGCGCAGCUCAAACAGGUGUGCGUCAGAGGAAAUUCGUUGUUGGAAAGUUGAAAAAGGGUUUCUAUAAUGUAAGAUUUACAUAAGUUCAACCGAGUGGAGCCAGUGUGUACUGCCAGAGAGAGAGAGCGCUACUCUGGCUGUGGAAAGAGGAACUUCGGCAGUGGGGUUUUCCCCAAUUAAUGGAUCCAGGCUUUUGAUGUCCAUCAUCAUCGCUGCUCGUGGCUGCUUCAUCUUGUGGUCAUCGCUGACAUGUGGAUGCUGUACCAUUGAGGGCGAAUCCUGUACACUUGGUGUCUGCAUUGAAAUUGGGUGAUAUCCUGAUCAUUGGAGAGAAGAUAAGAAGAGAGGAGAGGGAGAGAAACAGAUGGAUGAGAGAAGAGAAGAGAAGUUGUCCAGUGCUGUUGUUGCCCUCAGUGAAGACGCUGCACUCCGUACCUCGGCUCUCUUCUGUCCCGCACCUCAAUCUGAAGGAGAACAGACGGAUUAAUCAUUCUCAUAGAAAUGAAGCAUCGUGUAUGACCCUUUAAGAGGUUAUAGUUUUGCUUGUCUGCCCUGAUUAGUUUCAUCUAUGUCUUGAUGCUUCAUGCUGUCAGUGGAAGGGGAGGGACCACCGGUGGCCAAGGAAGCUGCUGAUCUGAAGUGGUUGCGGUAAAUCCAGCAAUAUACAAAAAUCGUCAAGAUAGAAGUCUGUCUGCCGGUUACCCAGGACGAAGGCCAGAAAGGAGAGAAUGAGGGCGUCCAGGAUGCCCAUGAUGGCCAGCAUAUAGGCCCAGCGUACAGAG